rnacentral:lncRNA from 1 species
CUUAAAUAAACUCUUAGGCUCAGAGCAAACGAACUGCUCUGAUACCACUCUGUCACGACCGGCCUUAAUUAAGGAUAAUUAAUCCGGGAAAACCAUGACUGGGGAAGGGAAAUUAAGAAGCGGGUUUAGAAAGGGUGCAUAAAAGAAUACUCAAAGAGCUUGAAUAUGCGUGAAAUAUUCCUUAAAAAGGAAAAAGGCAUAGUUCGCAUAAAAAAAGUACUCAAAGAACUUGUAUACGCGUUAUAUUCCUUAAAAGGAAAAAGGCAUCGUUAGGGGCUUGGCUAAAACAUUAUCAGAGUUUGCAACGGAA